rnacentral:rRNA from 1 species
CGAACGCUGGCGGUGCGCCUAAUGCAUGCAAGUCGAACGAGAACUAGAUCUUUCGUAAGAAAGAUCUAGGGACAGUGGCGAACGGGUGCGUAACACGUGAGAAACCUGCCCUGGAGAUUGGGAUAGCCCGAGGAAACUCGGAUUAAUACCAAAUAUGCUCACAGGACCACAUGGUCCGGUGAGGAAACAGUCCGCUGCUCCAGGAUGGUCUCGCGGCCUAUCAGCUUGUUGGUGAGGUAAUGGCUCACCAAGGCUCCGACGGGUAGCUGGUCUGAGAGGACGAUCAGCCACACUGGGACUGAGACACGGCCCAGACUCCUACGGGAGGCAGCAGCAGGGAAUAUUGCACAAUGGGCGAAAGCCUGAUGCAGCGACACCGCGUGCGGGAUGAAGGCCUUCGGGUUGUAAACCGCUUUCAGGAGGGACGAAAAUGACGGUACCUCCAGAAGAAGGCCCGGCCAACUAC